ensembl:lncRNA
GACAUCCUCUCCGACAGCUGGGAGUUCUGCUCCUUCCUGGAGGCCUCCACCCCCUCGGACUCGGGCGACGGCCCCGAGCCGCCGCCGCCGCCGCCGCCGCCGCCGGGCCGCCCGGGGCCCUGCUGCAGGCCGACGAGCCCGAGGAGGAUUGAUCCCGACUCGGCCUGCCCUCGCUGCCUCCCUGCCUGCUGCACAGAGACACACACCCCCCACAGAGACUGAGCCUGUCACGGACAGAAUGGAGAGACCGCGGCACGCAACCAGAGAGAGAAAUAAUACAAAGCGUAAAAAGAGGAAAAACAAACAAACAGACAAAAAACGACAAAAAAAAUGUACCUGUUCAUAACUCCAAGGGAGCACCACCCACCCGACAGCCUCCACAAACUGACAGCCGAGCAACUCCUCCGACCUGCCACCCAUCGCUGGAUGUUCCUCCACUUUACCCACCGUAUCAAACAACUUUUACCAGUAAAUAUCGGUUUAUUCCUGAAACCAGAAGCCCUAAACAUACCUUUGUUUAUAAGGUCAGUUGUCAUUUCAUCUCUCUCGUUCCCCACUCCCCCCCAGUACAAACUGGCAGGUAAUUGAAAGGUACCAAGUUUUCUUUCUAGUUUUCCUGCUCUGCAUCUCUGGAAAAGGAGCCCACAGGACCUAGACCCUUCUGUUGGUAAUGUAGACCUGAGUUUACAAAUUGUUGUUUAACAUUUUAAAGUCUACUUUUAAGGAUACAGGUGUUCCCGUCAGUCUGGUGCGGGAACUAAUAGAAAUCCCUACAAAUGCAUAAAUUGGUUCACCUUUCCAAAGCCUAUGGGUAGGUCUCUCACAAGUGUCUUCAGGCUUGGGCUUAGAAAAUAUUUAUCCAAAAGUGUACACUAGGAAAUGACAUUUCUGUUUUACAGCAAACAGGACUGGGGGAGGGGAGGGUGGGAUCAGAAUUUGGAAAUGAUUUUUUCCCCCUUUUUUUCUAUAUCCUACUAGAAAUCAAGCAUUCUCUUUUGUAAAGAAAGCAUAAAGUGGGGAGGAGGGAGAGAAUUUGGACAUUACCCUUUCUAAACUCUUUCUCCGAAGCAGAGAGAAAAGUCAGGUAAAAGGUUUGAACCUUAAAAGGACAUUGUUAGGUAGGUGAGACUCCAAAAGCAGGCUGGCAUUUCUUAAUGAUUGGAAUUGAUUUGUGUAAUUUUCAGAAUUUUGGUUUAUACCAAGACAAAUCAACCUGGGAGUGUUGAAGCUUCCUUUUCUGCAAGUGUUUGCAACCCAAACACAACAGCAUUAUGCUAAUACUCAAGAAACAGAGAAGCUGGCGAGGAAUAGAAAAUGAGUUGACUGCACAGCCCCAGCCAAAUUUUUCUCUUUUGAACAAACAAAAAAAAAAAAAGAGAGAGAGAGCAAAAAAAACCACACAACCCCCUGCAAAAACAGACAAAAUCAAAACGUGAUUUCAGAUGUUUUAUCGUAUAGAUUAUGGUUGGCAAGAGUGUUUUCAGUACAACUGCAGCCUAACUAUGUCCCUUUAAGGAGCAUAAUCUACUAAUUUCAUUCUAAUGAAACAAAAGCUAAAGUUAUCUUCCCUUUAGUGCAAAUCAAAGCUCCUGAAACCUUAGUUGGAGUCCAUAAUGACGGGAGUCUUCCAGCUGUACACUUUGAGCUGAAAACUACCUUUCCUCCCCUUUUACAGCCUGUGUGGUUCUGAUUGCUGGCAGUUCUAUAACACAACUUUAAUCUGAGCAAUUGAGCCUGGUCCUACAUUAUCUUCAGACGUCUUGCGGAGGACUCCUGUUACCAGUUUGGUACUCAAAAGCUACACCCCACCAUGAGAAGUCAUUUAUUUUUUAAAAGGCAGUAAUAGAUUACCCUCUCUAGCUCUAAUGGAAAAAUUAUAUUGCAAUGCAACUUUAUAAUGAAUUGUUCAUAUAGUCAUAAUUCCGUUGCAAGCCCAAAUUGGAGAACAGAUCUGUUAAAGGUAUAUAUUAGUCUAGUUUUUUUCUUAUUGUAAAUACUGUAAUUUUAUAAUACUGUCAAUAUUUUAUUAACUUAGAAAUAUUUAACAGAGUUUAAUCUAUGUUAGUUCAGAUUUAUUUAUAGGUUUAUGUUGCAGCCAAUAUUGCAUUACAUUCUAAUGUAAGAUUAACUUUCAGCAUGUAAACAUUGAUUUAAUAUAUCAUUGGAAAAACUAAGAGAGAAAAUUCUCACUCUUAAGCUGUAAUAUUUAUCCCGCAAUUCCCAGUUCAGAAUCAUUUAAUGAACAAUUAUGAGAUUUCAAAAACUCAUGAAACUAACAACUGCACUUGGACCAUGUCAUUUGAAAACUUGAAUUUAUAAAUGUACCUGGCUCUUUCACCCUGUUUGUAGUGAAUGAGAUUGCUUCAAUAUCUAAUCUAUAUAGUAUGGAAGUCUUUAUUUUGAGCAAAGGGACACUGUCAGAUCAAUUUUAGAUUCUUGUUUAAAAAAAAAGAAGAAGAAAAAAGAAAAACUCACCCUCAGUACAUGUGUGUUAAUUCAUUUUUAACUGCAAGGGAAAAAUAAUAUAUAUAUUUUUUUAGUUUGUUUAUUUGGCUCGAAACUUUCCUGAAGCUGUUUGCAUCUCAGAGCUGUGCAGCUCUGGGUGCUGGGUGAAAGGCAGCCGACUACAAGGACUUGCCUGACCACAGGACGUGGAGUCUCUCCCGGUCCAAGUGAAAGGCCUGAUCCCCUCCUGUGCAAAGUACGUGGCAAUGCCUCUGCCUCAGAGGGAAACAGGAUCAGGUCCCUGACACUGAUCAAAAUCAGAGCUCAGCAAGAUGACUACAAGUGCACAAGGUGUCUAAAACUUGCCAUUUUCUUGAUCAAAGUUUCUCUUCAGAAAUUUGCUUUUUAUAUAUAUAUAUAUAUGUAUAUAUAUAUAUAAAAGAUAUAUCUAUCUGUCUAUCUAUCUUAGCCUGAUAGUGUCCCUUUAAAAGUAUAUAGAUGUUCACUUUCUCUGCAAAAUGACUGGAAGUGAUUUUCUUUUUAAGAUAGAGGAGAAUUCAUCUGUAAUAUGUUUGAAACAUAACUUGCCUAAAAAUACCAAAAAUAUCUCAAGGGUUUUCAUGGGAGUUGGUAUUUUUUGAGUGUAAAAGUUAAUCUUUAUUAGAGAUGUGCCAAUCUAUACUGCUUUAUUGUAGUGUUGUUAUAUUUAGGCAUUUCAGUUAACUUACAAAUAUAUACUGUAACAGUAUACUUUGUACAGAUUUAUUUAAAAUUUAUUUGAAAACUGAAAUAAAGUAGGCAGAAAAUAAAGAUAUUUAUUUUUC